rnacentral:miRNA from 1 species
UGAGGCAGGAGAAUUGCUUGAACCCAGGAGGCGGAGGUUGCAGUGAGCCGAGAUCGUGCCAUUGCACUCCAGCCUGGGUAACAACAGCGAAACUCCGUCUCA